rnacentral:tRNA from 1 species
UCCGGUGUAGCUCAGUUGGUUAGAGCGCAUGACUGUUAAUCAUGAUGUCGGGGGUUCGAAUCCCUCCACCGGAGCCA